rnacentral:rRNA from 1 species
GGUCAAGCUACAAAGGGCUCAUGGCGGAUACCUUGGCACACAGAGGCGAUGAAGGACGUGGUUACCUGCGAUAUGUCUCGGGGAGCUGGAUACACGCUUUGAUCCGGGAAUUUCCGAAUGGGGCAACCCUUAGAACGGCUAGCUGAAUACAUAG